rnacentral:rRNA from 1 species
UGGGGAAUAUUGGGCAAUGGGCGAAAGCCUGACCCAGCAACGCCGCGUGAGGGAAGAAGGUCUUCGGAUUGUAAACCUCUGUCCUUGGGGAAGAAAAAAAUGACGGUACCCAGGGAGGAAGCCCCGGCUAACUACGUGCCAGCAGCCGCGGUAAUACGUAGGGGGCAAGCGUUGUCCGGAAUUACUGGGCGUAAAGGGUGCGUAGGCGGUUGUCUAAGUCAGAUGUGAAAUCCCCGGGCUUAACUCGGGUGGUGCAUUUGAAACUGGGUAACUAGAGUGCAGGAGAGGGAAGCGGAAUUCCUAGUGUAGCGGUGAAAUGCGUAGAUAUUAGGAGGAACACCAGUGGCGAAGGCGGCUUUCUGGACUGUAACUGACGCUGAGGCACGAAAGCGUGGGGAGCAAACAGG